CCUACGGGGGGCAGCAGUGAGGAAUCUUGGUCAAUGGCCGGAAGGCUGAACCAGCCAUGCCGCGUGAAGGUCAGUACCUUAUGGGCGUUAAACUUCUUUUGUGCGGGAGCAAUAAUGGUAACGUGUGGCCAGACGAGAGUACCGUACGAAUAAGCAUCGGCUAACCCGGUGCCAGCAGCAGCGGUAAUACGGAGGAUCCGAGCGUUGUCCGGAGUUAUUGGGUGUAAAGGGUGCGUAGGUGGAUUGUUAAGUCAGUGGUGAAAGUUGGCGGCUCAACCGUAAAAUGGCAGUUGAAACUGGCAGACUUGAGUACAGUAGAGGUGAGCGGAAUUCGUGGUGUAGCGGUGAAAUGCUUAGAUAUCACGAAGAACACUGAUUGCGAAGGCAGUUCACUGGACUGCAACUGACACUGAGGCUCGAAAGUGUGGGUAUCGAACAGGAUUAGAUACCCGAGUAGUC
rnacentral:rRNA from 1 species